rnacentral:rRNA from 1 species
UAGGGAAUCUUCCACAAUGGACGAAAGUCUGAUGGAGCAACGCCGCGUGAGUGAAGAAGGGUUUCGGCUCGUAAAACUCUGUUGUUAAAGAAGAACAUAUCUGAGAAGUAACUGUUCAGGUAUUGACGGUAUUUAACCAGAAAGCCACGGCUAACUGCGUGCCA